rnacentral:rRNA from 1 species
UACGUAGGUGGCAAGCGUUGUCCGGAAUUAUUGGGCGUAAAGAGCUCGUAGGCGGUUUGUCGCGUCGGCCGUGAAAUCUCCACGCUUAACGUGGAGUGUGCGGUCGAUACGGGCAGACUUGAGUUCGGUAGGGGAGACUGGAAUUCCUGGUGUAGCGGUGAAAUGCGCAGAUAUCAGGAGGAAUACCGGUGGCGAAGGCGGCAUCCUGGACCGACAUUGACGCUGAUGAGCGAAAGCUAGGGGAGCAAACGGG